CAAUAGCGUAUAUUAAAGUUGUUGCAGUUAAAAAGCUCGUAGUUGGAUCUGUGGUGUGCGGUGGGCUCCGGGCACUUGUUGUCUGAGUAGCUCGCCGCUGCCAUCCUUGGGUGGAACCUGUGUGGCAUUAGGUUGUCGUGCAGGGGAUGCCCAUCGUUUACUGUGAAAAAAUUAGAGUGUUCAAAGCAGGCUUAUGCCGUUGAAUAUAUUAGCAUGGAAUAAUGAGAUAGGACUUUUUCGCUAUUUUGUUGGUUUGCGCGAAGAGGUAAUGAUUAAUAGGGACAGUUGGGGGUAUUCGUAUUCCAUUGUCAGAGGUGAAAUUCUUGGAUUUUUGGAAGACGAACUACUGCGAAAGCAUUUACCAAGGAUGUUUUCACUAA
rnacentral:rRNA from 1 species